rnacentral:rRNA from 1 species
UACGGAGGGGGCUAGCGUUGUUCGGAAUUACUGGGCGUAAAGCGCGCGUAGGCGGACCUGCAAGUCGGGGGUGAAAGCCCGAGGCUCAACCUCGGCACUGCCUUCGAUACUGCGGGUCUCGAGUCCGGAAGAGGUGAGUGGAAUUCCUAGUGUAGAGGUGAAAUUCGUAGAUAUUAGGAAGAACACCAGUGGCGAAGGCGGCUAACUGGCCCAGUACUGACGCUGAGGCGCGAAAGCGUGGGGAGCAAACAGG